UUGUUGUUGUUUCUGAGUGAGGAUACUUCCCCGCUCGUCGUGCCGGUGGGCACGGGUUUCGAGAGUUUGAUUUGAGAUUUGUAAGGAAAGGUUUGGGUGGGUUAAUUUGUAAGUUUCACUGGAUUUCGGAUUUAGCUCGGGUUUGAGCAAGUUAUUUAUAUAUGUAUAUGAUGGAUUUAAUGCAUUGUUUUCAUGCAUGGUUUUCUAACAGUGGGGUUAUAUUACUUUGGUUUAAAUGAAACUAAAUUUUGUUUUGUCCACUCACAAUUUUCUGUUUUGCGCCCCACAGCCAGUAGUUGACUGGAACGAGCUGGAGUGCCAUGUUUUGUGCCCCUGCUAUCACGAGCCGCAGUACUUGAGCUUUCUUGGAGCCUCAGUGUUAUGUUGAAAUUUUUCUGGAUAUGUCCUGUUUACAGGGGAGACUGCCAAAAUUUUUGGUAGAGGUCUCGGUUCUUAGUAAGUGGGCCCGGCACCUGUAGGGUGUCGGAUCAUAUACGGGAUCCGUCUCGGUUUCCGAGGAAAUCCGGGGCGGGUCCUGUCAGUUUUGCUAAGCUGGAGAAGAAGAUUGCACAAGGAAAGGUAUAGCACAUCUUCCUAAAUAGACCUAGGAUUUGUUGAGCUUGCUAGUAUUUAUUUGUAAGAAUCUUUUUGCUUAGUAGAUUGCCUGGUCGGUUGAUGACCCCCAGUUUUUCCCAAUUGUGGGUUUCUAGGUGAACAAAUUUCUAGUUUGCAUCUCUUAAAUUUUUUGGGUUUGUGUUCUUGACAGUUGACUAGUCAUCACAUGUAUUUCUGGGUUCGUGUUCUUGCGGUUGACUAGUCAUCAUUUUCUGUUGUCUGAUGCUUACUUGAUUAUGAUGCUUUCACACACUUUCACCAUAGUUGUUGCUAGCACAGGGAAUGCCUAGAUUGACGGGUCUUUCUGAGUGCCUAGGUUAUCACUAGUAAUUCUCUAGGCUUGCAGGUACAUAUUGAUAUGCUCUGUGUAUGUUCUUGGUUGUGAUUAUUCAUGUCUGACAGUUGACUAGUCAUAAGAGUAUUGGUCAAGGUCUAAAGUGUGUGAAGUUUGUUGUGGUUUUUUUUUAGUGUCAUUUAAUUUACCCCUCGUCACCUAAGUGCCAAUUUCAAUUUUGACCCAUCUCAACAUGUUUACUCAUUUACCCGUCCUUCUCAAUAAUAAA